GAGGAGACAGAAAGAGAGAGAGCGGCUAACAUGGCAGAGAGGCAAGCGCGCGACUGGGCAGAGGAACGGGGAGAGGAGGAGAGCGCGAGAGCGCGAGGUCCAGGAGACGAGCCCGGGGAUCGGAGACGGCAGCGCCUCGCUGGAAGUCGGCGUGUGCCUCAGGUCUGUCAGCGGACACAAACAGGACGGAGAAGGAAGCACCCCCUCCAUCCUCCUCAUCCCGCCUCUUGGCCCAUUAAGCAGACCCUUCCGUCGCCCGCCGUCCCCAAGGAGGAAUUGCAUCCGUUCCCUCCGCCUGUCUUCGGGAGGCGAAGUGUUCAAGCAAAGAGAGAGCCGGGAGGAGUCCGCCCCCCGCAAGAGGCAACCUGCUAUCCCACUACCGCUUCCUUGAGGCCAAUUUAAUCCUUUGAAAGCAUAAAUCAAUGCCACUCUCCUCCGACCUGUCGGGAUCAUUCCUACGAUACGCUAGCACGUUCGUUUUGAAAUUCGCACCAGCUCCCCAACUGAAAACUCUGCAUGACUUCAAGGGCUUUUGCUGGCCCGCUCCUAGGGUGCUUCACAAUAGAGUAGCCUUUACCUUCAGGAUUACAUUGUUAUACAAAGAAUUUAGAAAACGUCCCCCUCCUCCAUGAUUUGGCAUGGCGGCCAGCCCCCCUCAAACUCUAAAACCUUCCCUCCUUGGCUUACCUUUCAAAAUGGGGAAAGAAGCUGUGCUUACCUUGAGCUCUUUCUGCACUGUUUCCGCCAGACUAUGGCCCUCAUUCUGAACCCUUUUUGCCUGCCUCGACUGAUUCCAGAGAAUGCAUGAGUCUGGAGGGAUUUCUUUUUGAGGAAGGCCAUUUUAUGUGCAAAUCAUGCUCUCUUCACAGCAGGUGGUCCAAGCAGUUUCCAGAAUGGAAUAGCCUUUCCAGAUUAAACCAAAGACCCAUUCUCUCCUGCUACUUUUCUCAAAGUGGUCUGCAUGCUCUCCUUGCCAAAUUUGAACAAGUAAAGUGUAUUGAGUUAGAUGGGUGUUGAGCCUAGCCUAACCCUUUCUCAGACAUCCUGAAGAGAGAUCAUGAAAAGGACCAAUCUUCAGUUACAGUAAAGUCUUGCUGCUCAUAAUGUUAAAAUUUCUAAAUUAAAUUUACUUUUCCUCAAGCUAAA